ACGCUGGCGGCGUGCCUAACACAUGCAAGUCGAACGGAGUUAUUCCUUCGGGGAUAACUUAGUGGCGACGGGUGAGUAACGCGUGAGUAACCUGGCCUUUCGAAGAGGGGGGAUAACGUUCUGAAAAGAUCGCUAAUACCGCAUGAGACUACAGAGCUGCAUGGCUCAGUGGUCAAAGGAGCAAUCCGCUCAAGGAUGGACUCGCGUCUGAUUAGAUAGUUGGUGAGGUAACGGCUCACCAAGUCGACGAUCAGUAGCCGAACUGAGAGGUUGAUCGGCCACAUUGGGACUGAGACACGGCCCAGACUCCUACGGGAGGCAGCAGUGGGGAAUAUUGGGCAAUGGGCGCAAGCCUGACCCGGCAAUGCCGCGUGAAGGAAGAAGGCCUUCGGGUUGUAAACUUCUUUUAUGAGGGACGAAGAAAGUGACGGUACCUCAUGAAUAAGCCACGGCUAACUACGUG
rnacentral:rRNA from 1 species